AGGCUGGGAGAGAGAGGCAGGGUCUGAUCCACAGCCUCCAUGGCAGCUGUUUAUCAGGCAUUGCCUCUCUCUCCUUCUCCG
rfam:Myotis davidii contig63285, whole genome shotgun sequence.